UGGGAAUUGAGAGGAUAGAGCCAUCGAGCCAGCCUCAGCCUAACCCAUCAGGCACGCAAAGCUCGAUUGCAUGGUGGCCAUCGUCGAGGAGUGCGAGGCUCCGGCUGGAUCCGGUUCUACACCUUCACGAGCACUCAAAGGUGAUGGUGCCAUCGCAGAUCCGCCCAAAUCACCACCGCCUUCACGCCGGGCACGCACACUGCACACGAGAGAUGGCUGGAUUGACAAGUAGAGGAGGGGCAAGGCCUGUCCGGCGCUGCGCUUCUCCGGCCGGUGCCCGCCGGCGCCGCCGCCAAGCCCGAGGAGGACGAGGAAAGGUGGAUAAACUGAGAGAUGCUUUUCUUUCGGGAGAGUUGACUGAACGAAAGAAACGAUUCGCUUGCCACACGAACGUGGCUGCCCUCAUCCGCCAUAUUUUGCCGGCUCUUCCAACCAGCUUUUUGAGGAAUAUUCUCAGCAUCUUGGCUAUCCCUAUCCUUUCGUGCCUCUAAACCAAACGGGUGGCAUCCCUCAGAAAAUUGGCUAUCCCUUUCCAACCAACCAAGGGAUAACGGAUGAACCAAACGCCACCUAAAUGGAUAAGGGAGAGUAGCCAGGAAGCGAUGCCCCAGCCGCAUGAUCCCCAAUUCACACGACCAGCACAUGCCCCCACGGCCGGUCGGGCGAGGAGCUUCCGCUGCGCUCUUCCUCGUCGGAGGAGCCGCCGGGGAGGCUGGUGCCAGGCGUGACGCCAUUGGAGAGGCUGCUCGCGAACCCGAGCACGGUCGGGCUCCAUGUGCCAGCGCGAGCGGAGUGCGUGCUUGAAGACGAGGGCACCGCGCGCCAGCAGUAUCUCGCUGGCGCCUGAAGGUGUCGGUGCCGACCGCCGCAGGCGCGCGUGGAGACGGGCUGGGCACCGCCGAGACGUGAGCAUUCGUGGCCAUUGGUCGCCGCUUCCGUCGGCCGCCGGAAGUUCAGUCGCGCAGGGGCCGAGCCGCGCGCAGCCGCCGCGGAUGCCUUAGGCGGUCGUGCCACAGGGCCGCGGGAAGCCGCGCUAGUGGAGCCGCUGCGUCGCGGCCGGUCCGCUGAUGCGUCAUGUGCUCGAGGCCUCCUUGCUGGUGCAUGGCUGAGGGCAGGCGACUGGCGAGAGCCCAAGGGUGGAUUUGGAUGGGAUAUCAACCCGGCCGGGUUUAACCGAAGACGCAUAUAAGGUAGGUCGGGAUCCAACCCCGACCGGGGUCAAAAGCACGUGGAUUAGGCCAAAACCCCGCCGAUCCCGGCGGGGGCGGGGAUUAAACGAACAAAGCCUCUGAUUUUUGCGUGGGUUGGGGGCGGCGCCGGCGAGGGUUUCCAGAACAAACGAGGUGAUGCAAGAGGGUUGAAUAGUUGUGGUGGAGCCGGUGCCCCGCUGACCGUCGGGCUCAGGCGCUCAGCCGUCGACCCCCAACCUGGACCCAUUAUCUGAUCCGUGGCCCAGACGAAAAAAGUCACGUCCUGGUCCACGACCCACUACGACGCGCGCUAGAGUCCUUCACGCCGUUGCGCUUCGGGCCCAGUCCUUCGCAACUGUUUCGUACCGUAUUCCCCGGCGCCAACGAUUUACCACAUCUCGAUUCUGACACGGCAGCUGGAUUUGUUCACAUCCCCAGCAUGGAACGGACGAGCAGGAUUUCGGGCUCAGCUGAGCCCGAGCACCAAAUCGCCGCGUCCUUCCAAUUUAGCUACCUACUGUACAUUUCAUAUGAUUUAACCUAGUUUUUCGUUCAUGUAAUUGUCUUUAGUUUCUAUAAGUUGUAAAUAUAUCCACUGCAUCUAUGCCCUAAUAUUACCAUUAUAAAAUUCUCAGAUACAUCAAUAGAAUAGAUAGGCAAAAUAUUAUUUUGUUCAGUUGUUAUAUAAAAGUUGGAAAACUUUUAUUCAUUGCUUUAUUAUAGGGCCC
rnacentral:rRNA from 1 species